GUGCUAUCUGUGGUAGCACAUAUACUAAAAUUGGAACAAUACAGAGAAGAUUACCAUGGCCCCUGUGCAAGGAUGACAUGCAAAAUCAUGAAGCAUUUCAUAUUUUU